AAAAUGUAUAAUUAAAGGGCAGCUAAAAUUGUGUGAAUUAUGAAAACCUACGUGGAGUGAAUGAGAGGUUUUACAAUGUAGGUAUAAAACUAUAAACUAAAAUUAGUGGGACAGUCACAGAUGAAGAUAUUUUAAAAAGGAUUUGUAUCUCAUGUGCAUUGAUAAGAAGCCAUUUUGAUUGUUGCUUGACACAAUAUUGAUUGAAUGGUGCAUAUUGGUCGUAUUACAAAUGAAUGGAGAUGGAAGAGAUAAGAAGGUUUGCGUUAAUUGGGUGUUGCAAGUCUUCUCCUCCUAUGCUGGGAAUUAUGGAUUCUGUUGUUUUAUCUAUUAGUAAGGCGGCCACUCUUUCAGCUGAGGAGCCAAUUCUUCAACACCCCCCCCCCCCUCCCCACUCUGUUUAAAAAGGCAGAAUUUACUCCUGGAGAUCUGUAUACAAGGAAGAGGCCUCUGAAUUCCGAGUUUUAGGUGAGACAGACAGCUUUAAAGAUGACAAACAAGUUAU